UUUUCCCGACAUUUUUAUGAU
rnacentral:piRNA from 1 species